rnacentral:rRNA from 1 species
GUAGGGUGCUAACGUUGUUCGGAAUUAUUGGGCGUAAAGAGCGUGUAGGUGGCUUUGCAAGUCGAAUGUGAAAUCCCUGGGCUUAACCGAGGAAGUGCAUCCGAAACUGCAAGGCUAGAGGACGGUAGAGGAAGGUGGAAUUCCUAGUGUAGAGGUGAAAUUCGUAGAUAUUAGGAGGAAUACCGGUGGCGAAGGCGGCCUUCUGGGCCGUUCCUGACACUGAGACGCGAAAGCGUGGGGAGCAAACAGGAUUAGAUACCCUGGGUAGUCCACGCCGUAAACGAUGGGUACUAGGUGUUGCGGGAAUUGACCCCCUGCAGUGCCGACGCUAACGCAUUAAGUACCCCGCCUGGGAAGUACGGCCGCAAGGUUA